GGAGGUAGAUGCUACAUCCUGUGAACCUCAGUAAGGGGGAUGCCUCUGUGUGUAGGGAUGUCAAGGCCCUGGCCCCGUGUCAUCCCCAGAUAAGCCCCAUAUCACCCUGGGAGCUCUGCAAGGACAGAAUCCAUGUGACAUUUUGGGAACUUCUAAGAUGCUAAUCAGAGGCCUUCUCCUCUGAGUUCUCAAACAAAUGAGAAGUAGACCCAAGGGUCAAGGGUUGAUGAAAAUAGCAUGGUUGUUUGCAGAGCUGGAUUGGAUCUGCAGAGAGCCCAAGCCUCCCUGUCUUCCUCUGUCUAGUCUCCGGCCACUGACAGAGUCCAGGCAGAGACAGAACCAGGCCGUAGACUUGCUGUGGGGAAGGAUAUCUGUCACAUGGAAGCAGAAGCCAACAGCAUCUUUCCCCUGUGGUCCCUAAAGGAAAAAUUGAGGCAGACCACAGGGAAUAGCAACUCUUUCGUAGCUUAAGACACCCAUGGACAUCUUCUCAUCCUUCCCAGCAGCUGUCCUUCAGGAAAGAGGGAAUGGAGUGGGAAUUUUCCCCCCAAUACUUUCAGGGAAGAAGUCAUCAUUUGCUACUCUCUGAAUGUUUGUGCUUUUUCCCCAAAUUCCUAUGUUGAAGUUCACCCCUAAGGUGACGGCCUUAGGAGGUGGGGCCUUUGGAAGGUGAUUAAGUCAUGGAGAUGGAGUCCUAAUGCACAGGAUUGGUGGUUUUAUAAAAGAGGCCCAAGAGAGAUCUCUUUUCUUUUCCACCAUGUGAGAACACAGCAAGCAGUCACCGUCUAUGAACUAGAAAGCUGAUUCACCAGACACCGAAUCUGCCAGCACCUUGGUCUUGGACUUCCCAGCCUCCAGAACUAGGAAAUGUUCCAACACAUCUGAGGAAACACAUGCCUUCCCAGACUGGCCUGUUGCUGUUUCCCAGGAGCUGCAUUCUGGAAGGUGGACCAUCAGGUGGAAGAAGUAUUCUUCAGAGAGCUGCCUUCCCAAGGGAAUGGUGACAGCUUGCGCUUGCCGGGGAGUCCUGCUGCCUUCCGAGGUGUGAAGGGAAGGCAUGCACUGUGCAUAUGCUGUACCAUACAGUUUUGCCUACAACUGCUUGUAGCUUCAUUGUAGCUGUGAAUGCUCCGUUCCUCUCCUUUUCACCCCUGAAGAUUCGCGAACAUGCAGGAUUGAGCUGUGCGAGGCAUAGCAUUCCCCACAUGGUAGACGAAGGCGGAUGUGGGUCUGAUGGCUCUACUGCCGUCCACCCGGGAGGAUGGACGUGUGUUCCGGGAUAUCAGAGCUUGCGGCUGACCAGCCCACAUGUCCAUGCAGCCCUCCCGCUGGCUGUGUCGACAUUUUGGGUGUCACUGAAGGAUUUUACUGGUGCAGACUUUACAAAGGCAAAAUUGUUUCUCAAGGAAGUGGACAUGAAAGAUCUAAAAUCAGGGCUGCUUAAAAAAAGCAAGCACAGAUUAAUGACCUAUCUACAUCCUACACGGUUUUAGGACUGCGCCUAGAUGGGCUUAAAGACCCUAGCCUAAAAACUGUAAAUGUGCUUCCGUCUUUGCCCUGUAGGACAAGAAAGCCUUACGGGCUUGCUUCUAACUGUGAGAGGAGGAGAGGCCAGGAAGGGAGAGGGAGAAAAGGAGGAGAACAGGAGACGAGAAGGAGGGGAGAGUGAGGAGAGGAGGAGAGAGGCUUGUCAAAAUCUUUUUAGUGCACAAAACUAAUUUUGUUCAUCUUGGAUUUGGUGAGCUGGGUAAUAUUCUGUGCACGGCUCCUAAAUGAAUUAUUAAAUGUCAACUCAAGAUGGCUUAACUAAAAUACUCAAUUUAAUAACCAAAAGUAUCUAAGGUAACAACAACAAUUUUGCAGGUGAUUGUAGAGUUGUCAAGUCAAACCAUUAUAGACAAGCAUUUGGGGUUUUCACAUAAUCUCCUUCCACAUCUCAUCUUCUGUCACUAAAUACCCACUCUGGUGAGCAUAUUCCAUUUCAAUAAAGAUCAUCGCUUCGGUGCCAGCUUCUUUUUAUUCAGAUCGAGCCAGAAAACCUUUUUUUUUUUUCUAAAAUAUAAAGCAAAACAAGAUCUCAGUCACAACCACCAAAUCUUUAUUAAUGCAUUCCUUGUGCUACUUCUGAAUAUUAAUAAAAAUUAAUAAUUAAUUUUGCCUUUGGCAUUGCAAGAUAUACUAGUUUUAAUUAGUGUACUGUACUCCUAUACAAUUAAAAAAUAAUUGAUGUCCAUGCUUA
rnacentral:lncRNA from 1 species